rnacentral:rRNA from 1 species
AUGGCCGCCGCCGGAGACCUCAGGUCGGNNNNNNNNNNNNNNNNNNNNNNNNNNNNNNNNNNNNNNNNNNUGCCUCUGUCCGUGGAGCAAGGGACUCCGGUGACGAAGCCGCUGUUCCAGGGCGACUGGCCUCUGGGGCCCAGAGAGGCCAUGGAGUCGUGCCCGAGGAAGGAGGUGGAGGACUUCCACGAGAAGCUGGUCGAGGAGAAUUUCUUCCUGAUUACCGAGUCAGGUGAGCAGGGGCGUGUACCUGUACUUCUGCUGAAACUCAACGACAGUACUGCUCCCGAAAGGAAGCCGGUUGUUGUGAUACUGCACAGCUCUUACAAAUGCAAGGAAUGGGUGCGUCCACUGCUAGAGGCAUAUGCCUCCAGGGGUUAUAUUGCUGUUUCCAUCGAUUCUCGCUAUCAUGGUGAAAGCGCCAGCCACAAGAAUACUUACACCGAUGCACUGAAAGCAGCUUGGAGGAAUGGGGACACGAUGCCUUUUAUUUUUGACACGGCAUGGGACUUGAUAAAGCUUGCAGAUCAUCUUAGUGCAAGGAAGGAUGUCGAUCCCUCAAGGAUUGGGAUUACUGGUGAAUCACUCGGAGGAAUGCAUUCAUGGUUUGGUGCUUUCGUGGAUACACGGUACAGUGUUGUUGUUCCGAUAGUUGGUUUUCAGGGAUUUCGGUGGGCAAUAGACAAUAACAUGUGGGAAGCCAGAGUUAACAGCAUCAGGCCUGUAUUUGAAGAGGCAGCAACUGAUUUAGGGAAGAGUGAAAUAGAUUCGGAGGUUGUGGAGAAGGUUUGGGACAGGAUAGCACCUGGGCUUGCUUCACGGUUUGAUGCACCUUACUCGGUUCCCCUGAUUGCACCACGUCCGCUCCUCCUCCUAAAUGGCGCUGAAGACCCUUGUUGCCCUAUCGCUGGUCUACAAGAGCCUGCUUCCAGAGUUGCUGAAGCUUAUGAAAAAGCUGGUUCUGCGGAGAAGUUCAAGUUCAUCGUGGAGCCGGGAGUUGAACAUAUGUUAACGGCGAACAUGGUGAAGGAAGCGAGCGAAUGGUUCGACCGAUUCCUGCAGUAG